rnacentral:rRNA from 1 species
AUUGAACGCUGGCGGCAGGCCUAACACAUGCAAGUCGAACGAGUGGCGGACGGGUGAGUAAUGUCUGGGAAACUGCCUGCUGGAGGGGGAUAACUAAUGGAAACGGUAGCUAAUAACGCAUACCAUCGGAUGUGCCCAGAUGGGAUUAGCUAGUAGGGGGGGUAAAGGCUCACCUAGGCGACGAUCCCUAGCUGGGCUGGGAGGAUGACCAGCAACACUGGAAGUGAGACACGGUCCAGUCUCCUCCGGGGGGCAGCAGUGGUGAAUAUUGCACAAUGGGGUCAAGCCUGAUGCAGCCAUGCCGCGUGUAUGAAGAAGGCCUUCGGGUUGUAAAGCACUUUCAGCGAGGAGGCGUUACUCGCAGAAGAAGCACCGGCUAACUCCGUGCCAGCAGCCGCGGUAAUUC